rnacentral:lncRNA from 1 species
CAACAGGAAUCGCACAGGGCCGGAGGAAAGAGCAACUGGGUGAUUUUGAAGGCCUGGGGGGCGUUUUAAAUGUGGUCAGUUUCUUAUCUGCCUUCCCCAUUAGAAUGCCCGCCCUUUUCAUUUGUUUUGUUCGUUGCUGUUUUGCAGAGCCUGCAGCAGGGCCGGGCACACAGUACACAUUGUACUAUGGGUUGUGUCCCGGAUGUACCCAGAUCGCAUGUAGCAGAGACACGGGUAUAAAACCGAGGAUAGGGGAGUCCUGGACACUGGCCACGUGCCUCCCACUACCCGAAUCUGACCUGUGUCAGAGGACGGGGAACCUGGAGACACACUCACAGAGAAAAGGGAAGAGCAGCUGGAAAUACCCCUGCCAAGGACGACAGUCCAGGAGGACGCUACUCUGGCCCCACCUGCCCUGGUCUUCACUUUCAAAACUUUCUUGCCAAUUUUUAUUCACAUUUAUACAAACACACAUAGGACAACAGCAACAACAACAACAAAAAUAGUCGAAAUAAAGUUUGGAAUUUUAUACAAUUUAAAGAUUAAUUUGUAAAGGACUGAAAUUUUGUGAAAUUCAGAAUUUCACAGUUUUAAAAUUGUAUGAAAUUUGAGCACCUGCCUGGCAAGCGCAAGGUCAUGAGUUUGAUUCCUGGUACCAGAAAAAAGCCAAAAAAUAAAAAAAAAAGAUAAAAAAAAUUAUGUGAAAUUUGAAAGUUCUCAUGUCUUUUUCAAAUUUAAAAUUUGGAAGCACAUGUCUUUUCAUGUAGUUCAUUUAUUUAGCCCUUUUUCUUCAUCUUUAAAUAAAUCUGUUUUGUUUUUUUUUUUUUUCCUUCUGGUGUUAGGAAUCGAACUCAUGACCUCGUGCUUGCCAGGCAGGCACCGUACCACUGAGCUAAAUUCCCAGCCCCAUUUAAUUAAAUCUUGAUAGUUUCCACCUGAGUUCUGUACUUUUCUUCUGUAUUUUUAUUAUUAUCAUCACUGAUAUGAAUAAAAUAUCUAUGUUCACUUUUGACUGGGUUCUGCUAAUAAAAGGAAAUACUAUUGAUUUCUUCUUAUUUAGUACAUAUUUGAGUGAUUUUUUGGUUUUUUUUUCCUCUAGUUUAUAUGUUUUUAUGAGAACAUGUUUGCAGUAUAUAAUGAUCAUAUUCCUUGUAGGGAGUUGGUACCUGUACAUAACACAUCUCAAUUCUUUUUUUUAUCCCCUUUCUCUUCCAACCCCCAUCUCUUGAUGAAAAAGAUCAACCUCCCUAAUUCCUAUUAUCUUUUAUUUUGCUCUUUAUUUAUAUUUUGGGUUUUUCACAUAAGAGAAAAGAUGUGAUGUUUAGCUUGUGUAUCUGAUUAAUUUCACUUAACAUUAUAGUCUAAAGAUGCAUACAUUUUCCUAUAAAUGACUCAAAUUUAUCCUUUUUGGUGGCAGAGUAGUACUCCACUGGGUAUAAAUACCAU